AGAGUUUGAUCCUGGCUCAGGACGAACGCUGGCGGCGUGCUUAACACAUGCAAGUCGAACGGAACCUUCGGGUUUAGUGGCGAACGGGUGAGUAAAGCGCAGGUAAUCUGCCGCAAAGUCGGGGACAACGUCCCGAAAGGGACGCUAAUACCGGAUGUUGUGCGGAGUUCGCAUGGAUUCUGCAUUAAAGAUUUAUCGCUUUGCGAGGAGCCUGCGUCCGAUUAGGUAGUUGGCAGGAUAAAAGCCUACCAAGCCGACGAUCGGUAACCGGUCUGAGAGGAUGAACGGUCACAAUGGAACUGAGACACGGUCCAUACUCCUACGGGAGGCAGCAGUGGGGAAUAUUCCACAAUGGGCGAAAGCCUGAUGGAGCGACGCCGCGUGAGUGAAGAAGGGCUUCGGCUCGUAAAGCUCUUUUCUUCGGGACGAAUGGCUAUUUGGAAUAGCAGGGACGGUACCGAGGGAAUAAGCCACGGCUAACUACGUGCC
rnacentral:rRNA from 1 species